rnacentral:lncRNA from 1 species
CUUUCAUAAAGUAGCAGAGAGAAAAAUGAGACAGAAAACUACAAAUUAAUAUGGAAAAGCAGGCAUCCUCCUCUCAGUACAUCUUUUUCAAAUUAAAUAAUCAUAAUCUACUCUAUUUGGUAUCAUAUUCUUAAAUCAAGAAUACAUUUAUUUGGUCCUUAUGAUAUUAAGGAAAUACUUGGCAAUGUCCAAUCACUGUCUAGUUUGCCAGUUACUUUCACAGCUUCUAUUAAGAAAAAGCCAUUAGUCAAAAUACAAAGUAUUAAAGCCAGGGUCUUUACUGAGAGCAUUCUUUAACAUAUAUUGGGGCCUGGGUAUAUGUGCUAUAUACCAUAUGGUAAAUUUUUUUUAUAGGUCAGGUCCUGUGUUAAAAGCUUGUACAAGCCUUCUGAAAUUACUUCAAGUUCAAUUGUGUGAAGAGAAUCUGUGUGUUUCCUUUGGGAAAUUUUGGUAAGAGGUGAGUAAAGUUAUGCAAAGUACAUUAUUUUUGAGACACAAGUAAAUAAACAGAAAUCCACCCAUCCUUAUUUUCUGCCCAUAGCAUAAGCAGCUGAGAGAGAAGGUAAAAGAGCAGAGUGAGAGGGGUGAUCAAAGGUGAAGAAGGGCUGCCAUCUGAGGAAGAGUCACAGAGUCUGGGACUCUUCAGACUGGAAUGGAGUUGGUGAUUGAGGCUUCCUGGUGUGGUUCAUUACAUGGCGUGGAGCUCAGUGUACAACAGGCCUGAAUGCUGAGAAGGAAACUCCUCUGAGGUAGAAAAUAGCACAGUGGAGAUGAUCAUAUUGUCAGCAGACACACAGGAGUCACACUAUUCACAGAAGAAACCUUGAGAGGUUUCUGAAAAUGCCUGACACCUCAAGUAGGAAGUCUCCAGAGACCACAGAAAUCCUUAAAAUGGCUGAAGAGUCCUCAUCAAUGGAGGAAAGCCCUAGGCACUUGGUGUAUUUGAGCUCAUCUGUGGACAGCAACGCUGGUGCACCUGGCCUACAUCUCCCAAGAGUCUCGUGCAGAUUGGAACAGGAGCACAGCACUCUGUGAAGGAGGCCAGAGACACAUUUUCACAUGGUAACUGUGUAAGGACACAGCUGCUUGGCUCAGGUGCAGCAUCUAUUUGCCCUCAGUGCUGUCAGCACUGGGAACAGGAAGAAAGAGUUCGGGAG